AACGGGCGUUUCAGUAAAUUGAUGUAGACCCGAAACCAGGUGACCUACCCAUGUCCAGGUUGAAGGUGCGGUAAAACGCACUGGAGGACCGAACCCGUGUAUGUUGAAAAAUGCUGGGAUGAGGUGUGGGUAGCGGUGAAAUUCCAAACGAACUUGGAGAUAGCUGGUUCUCUCCGAAAUAGCUUUAGGGUUAGCCUCGGAGUUAAGAAUCGUGGAGGUAGAGCCACUGUUUGGACUAGGGGCCCGUCAUGGGUUACUGAAUUCAGAUAAACUCCGAAUGCCACAGAUUUAUAUCCGGGAGUCAGACGAUGAGUGAUAAGAUCCACCGUCGAAAGGGGAACAGCCCAGACCACCAAUUAAGGUCCCUAAAUACAUGCUGAGUGGAAAAGGAUGUGGAGUUGCAUAGACAGCUAGGAUGUUGGCUCAGAAGCAGCCACCAUUUAAAGAGUGCGUAAUAGCUCACUAGCCGAGUGAUUCUGCGCCGAAAAUUUACCGGGGCUAAGCAUGUUACCGAAAUUGUGGAUUCGACCGUAAGGUCGAGUGAUAGGAGAGCGUUCUAAGGGCAACGAAGCAAGAUCGCAAGGACUUGUGGAGCGCUUAGAAGUGAGAAUGCCGGUAUGAGUAGCGAAAGAUCAGUGAGAAUCUGAUCCACCGAAUGACUAAGGUUUCCUGGGGAAGGCUCGUCCUCCCAGGGUUAGUCGGGACCUAAGCCGAGGCCGCAAGGCGUAGGCGAUGGAUAACAGGUUGAUAUUCCUGUACUAGUUAAUCAUGUUUGAACGAUGGAGGGACGCAGGAGGCUAUGGUGUGCACACGAUUGGAAAUGUGUGUUCAAGCGUCAAGUCUGGUGAUGAGUCAAAUGCUUAUCGCUAAGGACAAGGCGUGACGAGGACCGAAUUUUAGUAGGGAAGCGCCAGAUGUCACACUGCCGAGAAAAGCUUCUAGUUAGUGAUUAAUUACCCGUACCGCAAACCGACACAGGUAGUCGAGGAGAGUAUCCUAAGGUGAGCGAGUGAACUCUCGUUAAGGAACUCGGCAAAAUGACCCCGUAACUUCGGGAGAAGGGGUGCUGCACGCAAGUGCAGCCGCAGUGAAAAGGCCCAGGCGACUGUUUAUCAAAAACACAGGUUUCUGCAAAAUCGAAAGAUGACGUAUAGGGGCUGACGCCUGCCCGGUGCUGGAAGGUUAAGUGGAUGAGUUAGCUUCGGCGAAGCCCAGAAAUGAAGCCCCAGUAAACGGCGGCCGUAACUAUAACGGUCCUAAGGUAGCGAAAUUCCUUGUCGGGUAAGUUCCGACCCGCACGAAAGGCGUAACGAUCUGGGCACUGUCUCAACGAGAGACUCGGUGAAAUUAUAUUACCUGUGAAGAUGCAGGUUACCCGCGACAGGACGGAAAGACCCCAUGGAGCUUUACUGUAGCUUGAUAUUGGGUGUUGACACAGCUUGUACAGGAUAGGUCGGAGCCGUAGAACUCGGAACGCUAGUUUCGAGUGAGGCGCUGGUGGGAUACGACCCUCGCUGUGUGAACACUCUAACCCGCACCACUUAUCGUGGUGGGAGACAGUGUCAGGUAGGCAGUUUGACUGGGGCGGUCGCCUCCUAAAAAGUAACGGAGGCGCCCAAAGGUUCUCUCAGAAUGGUUGGAAAUCAUUCGUCGAGUGUAAAGGCAGAAGAGAGCUUGACUGCGAGACAGACAGGUCGAGCAGGGACGAAAGUCGGGCUUAGUGAUCCGGUGGUACCGUAUGGAAGGGCCAUCGCUCAACGGAUAAAAGCUACCCUGGGGAUAACAGGCUUAUCUCCCCCAAGAGUCCACAUCGACGGGGAGGUUUGGCACCUCGAUGUCGGCUCAUCGCAUCCUGGGGCUGUAGUCGGUCCCAAGGGUUGGGCUGUUCGCCCAUUAAAGCGGUACGCGAGCUGGGUUCAGAACGUCGUGAGACAGUUCGGUCCCUAUCCGUCGCGGGCGUAGGAAAUUUGAGAGGAGCUGUCCUUAGUACGAGAGGACCGGGAUGGACAUACCGCUGGUGUACCAGUUGUGCCGCCAGGCGCAUCGCUGGGUAGCUAUGUAUGGAUGAGAUAAACGCUGAAAGCAUCUAAGUGUGAAACUCGCCUCAAGAUGAGAUUUCCCAUUCCUAUAUGGAAGUAAGACCCCUGAGAGAUGAUCAGGUAGAUAGGCUGGAAGUAGCAGCGCCGUGAGGCGUGGAGCGGACCAGUACUAAUCGGUCGAGGACUUAACCAA
rnacentral:rRNA from 1 species